rnacentral:rRNA from 1 species
AUACGGAGGAUGCGAGCGUUAUCCGGAUUUAUUAGGUUUAAAGGGUGUGUAGGCGGUAUUUUAAGUCAGUGGUGAAAUCUCGGAGCUUAACUUCGAAACUGCCAUUGAUACUGGAAUACUUGAGUAUAGUUGAGGUAGGCGGAAUAUGUAAUGUAGCGGUGAAAUGCAUAGAUAUUACAUAGAACACCGAUUGCGAAGGCAGCUUACUAAACUAUUACUGACGCUGAUGCACGAAAGCGUGGGGAGCGAACAGGAUUAGAUACCCGGGUAGUCC